AUACAAUGAAGAGUUUGAUCCUGGCUCAGGAUGAACGCUAGCGGCAGGCCUAACACAUGCAAGUCGAGGGGCAGCGGGGAAAAGCUU
rnacentral:rRNA from 1 species